CUGGUGUUGAAGGCCCUGCAAAGCAGCAUCGCGGUGGCGGAGCGUCGUUUGCGACGCCCAACACACAAAACAAGCGGUGAAUGCUUUGGGGUGGGGUGACUGCGUACCUUUUGUAUAAUGGGUCAGCGACUUAUAUUCUGUAGCAAGGUUAACCGAAUAGGGGAGCCGGAGGGAAACCGAGUCUUAAUUGGGCGUUAAGUUGCAGGGUAUAGACCCGAAACCCGGUGAUCUAGCCAUGGGCAGGUUGAAGGUUGGGUAACACUAACUGGAGGACCGAACCGACUAAUGUUGAAAAAUUAGCGGAUGACCUGUGGCUGGGGGUGAAAGGCCAAUCAAACCGGGAGAUAGCUGGUUCUCCCCGAAAGCUAUUUAGGUAGCGCCUCGUGAAUUCAUCUCCGGGGGUAGAGCACUGUUUCGGCUAGGGGGCCAUCCCGGCUUACCAACCCGAUGCAAACUGCGAAUACCGGAGAAUGUUAUCACGGGAGACACACGGCGGGUGCUAACGUCCGUCGUGAAGAGGGAAACAACCCAGACCGCCAGCUAAGGUCCCAAAGUCAUGGUUAAGUGGGAAACGAUGUGGGAAGGCCCAGACAGCCAGGAUGUUGGCUUAGAAGCAGCCAUCAUUUAAAGAAAGCGUAAUAGCUCACUGGUCGAGUCGGCCUGCGCGGAAGAUGUAACGGGGCUAAACCAUGCACCGAAGCUGCGGCAGCGAACGUAUCACCCAAGACAACUUUACGGAGUUGACGAUUGACGGAGCGAAGCGACGUCAAAGCGUUCAUUAAAGUCGAGUUGGCUUAGGGAUACGUUCGUUGGGUAGGGGAGCGUUCUGUAAGCCUGUGAAGGUGUGUCGUGAGGCAUGCUGGAGGUAUCAGAAGUGCGAAUGCUGACAUAAGUAACGAUAAAGCGGGUGAAAAGCCCGCUCGCCGGAAGACCAAGGGUUCCUGUCCAACGUUAAUCGGGGCAGGGUGAGUCGACCCCUAAGGCGAGGCCGAAAGGCGUAGUCGAUGGGAAACGGGUUAAUAUUCCCGUACUUGGUGUUACUGCGAAGGGGGGACGGAGAAGGCUAUGUUGGCCGGGCGACGGUUGUCCCGGUUUAAGCGUGUAGGUGUGUGUUCCAGGUAAAUCCGGUUCACUUUAACACUGAGGCGUGAUGACGAGGCACUACGGUGCUGAAGCAACAAAUGCCCUGCUUCCAGGAAAAGCCUCUAAGCAUCAGGUAACAUCAAAUCGUACCCCAAACCGACACAGGUGGUCAGGUAGAGAAUACCAAGGCGCUUGAGAGAACUCGGGUGAAGGAACUAGGCAAAAUGGUGCCGUAACUUCGGGAGAAGGCACGCUGACACGUAGGUGAAGUGAUUUACUCACGGAGCUGAAGUCAGUCGAAGAUACCAGCUGGCUGCAACUGUUUAUUAAAAACACAGCACUGUGCAAACACGAAAGUGGACGUAUACGGUGUGACGCCUGCCCGGUGCCGGAAGGUUAAUUGAUGGGGUCAGCGCAAGCGAAGCUCCUGAUCGAAGCCCCGGUAAACGGCGGCCGUAACUAUAACGGUCCUAAGGUAGCGAAAUUCCUUGUCGGGUAAGUUCCGACCUGCACGAAUGGCGUAAUGAUGGCCAGGCUGUCUCCACCCGAGACUCAGUGAAAUUGAACUCGCUGUGAAGAUGCAGUGUACCCGCGGCAAGACGGAAAGACCCCGUGAACCUUUACUAUAGCUUGACACUGAACAUUGAGCCUUGAUGUGUAGGAUAGGUGGGAGGCUUUGAAGUGUGGACGCCAGUCUGCAUGGAGCCGACCUUGAAAUACCACCCUUUAAUGUUUGAUGUUCUAACGUGGACCCGUAAUCCGGGUUGCGGACAGUGUCUGGUGGGUAGUUUGACUGGGGCGGUCUCCUCCUAAAGAGUAACGGAGGAGCACGAAGGUUGGCUAAUCCUGGUCGGACAUCAGGAGGUUAGUGCAAUGGCAUAAGCCAGCUUGACUGCGAGCGUGACGGCGCGAGCAGGUGCGAAAGCAGGUCAUAGUG
rnacentral:rRNA from 1 species